rnacentral:rRNA from 1 species
UGGUUAUAAUAGCAGAGAAGAUACACCUGUUUCCAUUCCGAACACAGAAGUUAAGUUCUCUAGCGCUGAUGGUACUUGGUGGGAAACUGCCCCCUACGAGUC